ensembl:lncRNA
AUCAAAGAGUCCCGCCUGCCGGUCCCCUUCGCCUGACAUCAUCAAAGUGCUGUGGUGUCAUGGCAACCACAUAGACAAUGGGGUGCACUGGUUUGAGCUUCAAAGACCAGAGAACAGAGACGUCCUGUUCAGCAUUUACACACCGGAUUGUGCAGAACGGGGUAGCGGUGUACGCAGCGUGGGGGAGCAUCUCCACCCUGCUGUGCCUGUCCGUCUACCUGGAGAACCGGACCGCCACGUCCAAGUGUGACUGCGCCAUGGUCUCCCUCGUGGUGCUGCUCAUGGAGCUGCUAGUAUGGUUCUUGUUGGAGAACUUCUACCUGGACGAGCAUGUGCGCUACGUCCUGACCGUUUACCCUGUGACCAUCCUCUGGCUGGCGGGCAGUGUCACUCAGUCGGCACUCCCCGGGAAUUACAUCUACGACUUCUCCGUGGUGAUCCUGGGCACAGCGUGCGUCAUGUUUGUAGUGCGCCUGGCCCUGGUGUUGUGGCGACACCGGACAAAGCCUCUCUACAGCGACCCCUUCACGGUCCCAUCGCCGGUGGAGAUAGCCCUGACCCAGAGGGGGGUCUUUCACUAACGUCCUUAACGUACCCCUGAGAAGUAGCGGGUGUUUGUGGCGGAGUGAGACUGUUUUUGUAGAGGAGUUGAGAGUUCGUCUGUAGCGGGGAUGAGCGUGUGUUUGGAGCCGAGUGAGAGUUUGUUUGAAAUCGAGGUGAGAUUGUGUUUGUAGCGAAGUUGAGAGUGUGUUUGUAGCGGUGGUGAGCGUGUAUGUAGAGGAAGUGAGAGUGUGUUUGUAGCAGAGUGAGAGUGUGUUUGUAGAGAAGUUGAGAGUGUGUUUGUAGCGGUGGUGAGCGUGUAUGUAGAGGAAGUGAGAGUGUUUGUAGCGGAAUCAUUUUAUAUUGUUCCGUUCGGUCCGCUGAUGAUUGUGCAUUCUUGUGUAUUCUUUAGUAAAAAUCACCUGUUAUAUGCUGCAUUUCCACUGUAUUUGAGCGGUCAUUUGAGGAGAGACAUAUCAGUUCCACAGUGAAUGAACAGCUGUCUGUAUGUAAAUCAUGUCGGCUUCAAUAAACA